AGUCCAUGAUGUGGGAAUAGCCUUAACAUAUCCUUAUAUCUUUCCCAAGCCUCAAAAAGAGAUUCUUUAUCUUUUUGCCUAAAUCCGUUGAUUUGGCUUCUUACCAU